ACAAACAAAAAAUAUAUGGUUGUUACAUUUCAUAUCGUUAUCUUCAAAGUAGUUGUUCAGAUUACCAGAUUUAAGUCGGAAAUUAUAAUGAACCCUACUUGGGAAAUUCUGAGAGCCUCAGUAACAGAACUGUUAUGAAACAAGUACGUUCUGCGUCCACAUGGCUGUGCUCUUGGAUUUUGCACCUAAGUCCAAACAAGUAGCAGUGUCCUUCUUUUUUACAGGCAGUGUCAUGAAAUAAAAUGCAUUCGUUUGUUCUUAAGUUUAUUUCUUUGGGCUACAAAUUGGUACUGAUUUAAAAAGUUUAUAGUUAAGUGUUUCUAAGUGAUGAUUUCUCUUUUUACUGGUAGAUAUUUGAUCAGACAUUUUCUAGCUUGGCAUUAAGUCUAGACUGUUUAUUUUAAAAAAAUGAAAUAUGUGUAUGUAUCAGCAUUUUCUUUUUUAUAAUUUAUAGGACAAACUUGACGUUAGAGGAAUGUUUUACUUUUGAGGCUGAAAUUUAUGUGGUGAAUUUUAAUCUCUAAACAUUUUGAAUGUACAGUUUUAAAUUCUAUUUGACAGUAUAGACUUAAGACAAAUGUAUUUCCUUAUAACUUCAGCGUAUCACAUCCCAAAUUUUUAGUGCAAUUUUUGUAUGACAGGGUUAAAUCUGCAGUUAUUUCCCAUUGCUAUUAAUUAAAACUAAUUGCAGUGAAAGAAUUUUUUGAUGUUUUUCUUCUCUAGCUAUAUCUAGGCUUUUAUUCAGUAGCUAUCACCUAUAUUUUAUUUAGUAUGUGAAAAUAGUUCUGAUACAAGAUAACCUAGAACACGUUGAGUUCAGCCAUGUGUCGUUUCGGAUUUUAUAGCCCACUAGUGUGAUUCCUGAGGUGUUACCAUCUUUGGGAAAUUGGAAAACCGGCCCGGGAGACCCUGGGAAUGAGAAGUAAGCACCUCGGGGCAGUCUGGAAAAACGGUGUGCAGCGGUUAUGUAUAGAAGGGAAAGAAGGGCAGUGGAAAUGAGGCAUUCUUCCUGCUGUCAUUCACUGUGCGAAGUUUUGUAAGCUUUCAGAAUGUGCUGAGGCCCAUUUGAAAGAGAGUAUCAGAGAACAACUUGACGCGAGAAAUAAUGUCCUGUUGUGAAUAUGUGAUCUGCUAACUACAGGGAGAGCAUCGUGUCAGCAUUUCGAGUUUUGGAUUUCAGAGCAGUUUGGAUUGUGGACUUUCCAGUUAGGCAUGCUCAUUGGGUAAAAUCUGCAGAUAUUCCAUAGUCUGAAAAACUGAAAUCUAAAACACUUUCGGUCUCAAGCAUUUCACAUAAGGGGAUAUUCAACCUGUAUCUAAUUUGGAAUAGGUCAAGUCUAAGUUAAUGAAAAUGAAAGUUCUGAAUUAUUUUUGUCUGGUUUUAUUUUGAAGUAUGCAACGUUGAAAACUUACUGUAAUAUAUGCUGUCAAAUGGAGUAGAUUAGUAAGAUCACACAUUAUCUGUGUGAUGUUCCCUGUCACUCAGAUUUUUAGUAUGUUAAAAUUGUUAGGUACAGUGGAAGUCUUAAGAUUUCUGCAGCUGUUCCUAUUACGGAGGUACUGGUUCUUGACUUAGUUUAGUACAGCUCAGUGACUGAGAUUUUAAUUAACCCUUGGUAAGUUUAUUCUGCCUGGGCUUAGAGAGUGGUAUGAAAGGCACGAUGACAUGUUCAGGUUGCACACACCCUUACAAAGUGCCAGGAAAAGGUGGGUCGUGAAGCUGGCUGCUGUGUUAGGAGGGAAGCAAGCUUGCCGAGAGUUAGAUGGAAUGUCAUUAUGGAGACCUUUGAACACCAGGAAAGGCAGACUAAAGAUGUAAUGAACUUGCAUGAAUCCAGUAUCUGUUUUUACAAUUAAUGCACGAUAAAUUGUCUUGAAUUAAUAACU